UACGGAGGGUGCAAGCGUUAAUCGGAAUUACUGGGCGUAAAGCGCACGUAGGCGGAUCGGCCAGUUAGGGGUGAAAUCCCAGGGCUCAACCCCGGAACUGCCUUUGAUACUGGAUGUCUGGAGUAUGGAAGAGGUGAGUGGAAUUCCGAGUGUAGAGGUGAAAUUCGUAGAUAUUCGGAGGAACACCAGUGGCGAAGGCGGCUCACUGGUCCAUUACUGACGCUGAGGUGCGAAAGCGUGGGGAGCAAACAGG
rnacentral:rRNA from 1 species